UACGUAGGGGGCAAGCGUUGUCCGGAAUUAUUGGGCGUAAAGCGCGCGCAGGCGGUCUAGUAAGUCUGAUGUGAAAGCCCACGGCUCAACCGUGGAGGGUCAUUGGAAACUGUUAGACUUGAGUAUAGGAGAGGAAAGUGGAAUUCCAUGUGUAGCGGUGAAAUGCGUAGAUAUAUGGAGGAACACCAGUGGCGAAGGCGACUUUCUGGCCUAUGUCUGACGCUGAGGCGCGAAAGCGUGGGGAGCAAACAGG
rnacentral:rRNA from 1 species